AUGCUUGUUAAGUACAAUUUGAUGUCCCACAGUUACAUGACAAAUUUGUACGAGAUACGACGCAAAUGGGCGAAACCAUACUUCAAAGGUGUUUUCUGUGCCAAAAUGACCAGCACCCAGCGUAGCAAGAGUGCAAACAAUAUGCUGACAAUAUACAUGCCACCAGCAAAUCCAAUGCAUGUGUUUGUGCAUCAGGACAUGAGGCUGCAAUUCGACCGGGAAUCAGAUGAGAGCUACCAAGAAAAACAAACAAGGAUUGUAAGCCCACUAUAUGAAAAACCUACUCAAUUGUUUGUUUCUCAUAUUAUUGUGUAUAAAACUGGCAAAUUCUCUUUUUUCCUCUGUGCUGCUCAGAGUGGCGCUGUCAUGAGAACAAACAUUGCUAUCGAGAGGCAUGCGGGUAAGGUUGAUACACGGAAGAUGUUUGAACAAUUUGGUGAGUAUCUAUUCGAAGGUGGAUCAUACCAAGUCGAGGAAUUUGAAAAGAAAAAAAGUAUAUCGCAUGACACAAUAAUGCCGAAAGACGAGAUAAAUGGAAAAAGGUGGAAUACAAGGUGA
rnacentral:rRNA from 1 species